rnacentral:misc_RNA from 1 species
CGGAACAAUGGCUGCACAAAAUUCAUACAUGAAGCACAAAUAAAGACAAAUUAUUAAAUAAGAAAGAAACUGGCAUCAGAUUAUGGGCACUACGAUAGGUGCUACAGCCUUAAGUAAUCGAUCCAAUCACUAUAGUGCGACGAUAACAAAUGUAGAAAGCCUUCAUAAUUACAUAGAUUUGUCUCCACUAACCCAUAAGGUCAAGAAAGUUAACUGUAACUUUAGUUUCCGUUUUAUUAUUUCACCUUUUUGGUUUUUGCUGCACAAAUGAGUCUAAUGGCUUACAAAACAAGCACCAGCUACCCAUUUCCCUAAUAGGCUCAUCCAUACAAAAGAAAGAUAACAGAUGGAAAACCUGCUAGAAAAAUUUGCAAAGACUUAAAAUGGGAGUGCUAAAGGGGUCAAUAAGAAUGCUUAAUCCAUGACUCCUAAUCAGAGGUGGACUAAAAAGAAGGGUAACAUCUAAUUAAGAUGGACCCUCGACAUAUAGUUAUUAAUUCAGCUCACAG